UGUCCAUCCAGAGCGACCGAGAGACCUGGCUCGUCGACGUCGCAGCAACCCCCUGAUCCGUCAGGCGCGGGUGCUUCCGCCAGGACCGAUGGGAG
rnacentral:ncRNA from 2 species